rnacentral:rRNA from 1 species
UACGGAGGGUGCAAACGUUGCUCGGAAUCAUUGGGCGUAAAGCGCACGUAGGCGGCCUGACAAGUCGGGUGUGAAAGCCCUGGGCUCAACCCAGGAAGUGCACUCGAAACUGCCAGGCUUGAAUAUGGAAGAGGGUCGCGGAAUUCCCGGUGUAGAGGUGAAAUUCGUAGAUAUCGGGAGGAACACCAGUGGCGAAGGCGGCGACCUGGGCCAAUAUUGACGCUGAGGUGCGAAAGCGUGGGGAGCAAACAGG